CUAGGUAAUGUAGCAAAGCUAAAAGAACUAUUGCGUAAAAGUGAUAAUCAUGUUUGUGCAGAUUGUGGGGCACAAG